rnacentral:rRNA from 1 species
GACGAACGCUGGCGGCGUGCUUAACACAUGCAAGUCGAACGGAAAGGCCCUGCUUUUGUGGGGUGCUCGAGUGGCGAACGGGUGAGUAACACGUGAGUAACCUGCCCUUGACUUUGGGAUAACUUCAGGAAACUGGGGCUAAUACCGGAUAGGAGCUCCUGCUGCAUGGUGGGGGUUGGAAAGUUUCGGCGGUUGGGGAUGGACUCGCGGCUUAUCAGCUUGUUGGUGGGGUAGUGGCUUACCAAGGCUUUGAAGGGUAGCCGGCCUGAGAGGGUGACCGGCCACAUUGGGACUGAGGUACGGACCAGUAUCCUACGGGACGCAGUAGUGGGGAAUAUUGCACAACGGGCGGAAGCCUGAUGCAGCAGCGCCGCGUGCGGGAUGACGGCCUUCGGGUUGUAAACCGCUUUCGACUGUGACGAAGCGUGAGUGACGGUAAUGGGUAAAGAAGCAACGGCUAACUACGUG